rnacentral:rRNA from 1 species
CCCACGAGUUCCGUGCCGCAGCAAACGCAUUAAGUGCCCCGCCUGGGGAGUACGGCCGCAAGGCUAAAACUCAAAGAAAUUGACGGGGGCCCGCACAAGCGGCGGAGCAUGCGGAUUAAUUCGAUGCAACGCGAAGAACCUUACCAAGGCUUGACAUACACCGGAAACUUCCAGAGAUGGUUGCCCCGCAAGGUCGGUGUACAGGUGGUGCAUGGUUGUCGUCAGCUCGUGUCGUGAGAUGUUGGGUUAAGUCCCGCAACGAGCGCAACCCUCGUCCUAUGUUGCCAGCGGGUUAUGCCGGGGACUCAUAGGAGACUGCCGGGGUCAACUCGGAGGAAGGUGGGGAUGACGUCAAAUCAUCAUGCCCCUUAUGUCUUGGGCUUCACGCAUGCUACAAUGGCCGGUACAAAGGGCUGCGAUACCGCGAGGUGGAGCGAAUCCCAAAAAGCCGGUCUCAGUUCGGAUUGGGGUCUGCAACUCGACCCCAUGAAGUCGGAGUCGCUAGUAAUCGCAGAUCAGCAACGCUGCGGUGAAUACGUUCCCGGGCCUUGUACACACCGCCCGUCAAGUCACGAAAGUCGGUAACACCCGAAGCCGGUGGCCCAACCCUUGUGGGGGGAGCCGUCGAAGGUGGGACUGGCGAUUGGGACUAAGUC